GACGAACGCUGGCGGCGUGCUUAACACAUGCAAGUCGAACGAUGAUCCGGGUGCUUGCACCUGGGGAUUAGUGGCGAACGGGUGAGUAACACGUGAGUAACCUGCCCUGGACUCUGGGAUAACCCCGAGAAAUCGGAGCUAAUACCGGAUAGGACCUUUCCUCGCAUGAGGUGGGGUGGAAAGUUUUUUCGGUUUGGGAUGGACUCGCGGCCUAUCAGCUUGUUGGUGAGGUAAUGGCUCACCAAGGCGUCGAAGGGUAGCCGGCCUGAGAGGGUGACCGACCACACUGGGAGUGGGACACGGCCCAGACUCCUACGGGAGGCAGCAGUGGGGAAUAUUGCACAAUGGGCGCAAGCCUGAUGCAGCAACGCCGCGUGCGGGAUGACGGCCUUCGGGUUGUAAACCGCUUUUAGUAGGGAAGAAGCCUCUUGGGGUGACGGUACCUGCAGAAAAAGGACCGGCUAACUACGUGCCAGCCGCCGCGGUAAAAC
rnacentral:rRNA from 1 species